AACGAACGCUGGCGGCGUGCCUAACACAUGCAAGUCGUGCGAGAAAGUUCCUUCGGGAGCGAGUAAAGCGGCGCACGGGUGAGUAACACGUAGGUAACCUGCCCCCCAGUCUGGAACAACUAGAGGAAACUCUAGCUAAUGCCGGAUGAGACCACGAUCCCUUCGGGGGUUGCGGCCAAAGAUGGCCUCUACUUGUAAGCUAUCGCUGAGGGAUGGGCCUGCGGGCCAUUAGCUUGUUGGUGAGGUAACGGCUCACCAAGGCUGUGAUGGCUAGCUGGUCUGAGAGGAUGACCAGCCACACUGGGACUGAGACACGGCCCAGACUCCUACGGGAGCAGCAGUGGGGAAUAUUGCGCAAUGGGCGAAAGCUGACGCAGCGACGCGCGUGGGUGAUGAAGG
rnacentral:rRNA from 1 species